rnacentral:rRNA from 1 species
UACGAAGGGGGCUAGCGUUGUUCGGAAUUACUGGGCGUAAAGCGUGCGCAGGCGGUUGUGCAAGACAGAUGUGAAAUCCCCAGGCUCAACCUGGGAACUGCGUCCGAUACUGGAUGGCUUGAAUCCGGGAGAGGGAUGCAGAAUUCCAGGUGUAGCGGUGAAAUUCGUAGAUAUUGGGAAGAACACCGGUGGCGAAGGCGGCUCUCUGGACCGACACUGACGCUGAGGCGCGAAAGCGUGGGGAGCAAACAGG